ACUUCACUACUCUCCUAUUCAGACAGUACAAUCAUUUUAAUAACUGUCUGCCUGCCUCUAACCCCCCGCCCCCCCCACUCUCCUUCUCUUACUUCUGUUUCUACUGACAAGAAAGAUGAUGUAUGUGCAGACAGAUUUGCAGCUUUCCAACUGAGAUAUGAAAAUGUCCUAUUUGUGCAGGAAUUGGGGUUCCUUUUCCGAGUUUUAAACAUAACAUUUUAAAUCUAACUUUCUUUAUACUACUUUUGGUAAGUUUUUUGUUUUUCUUAAAUAUUGGAUUUGAAGUGUCACUUGAGGGAAUUUAUAUAUUAUUAUUAACUUCCUUAGAUAAAAAAAAUAUAAAUUGUACUUAAGAAGCAAAUGGCAAAUGCAGUCAUAUUUGCAAAAAUGUAUAAAUAAAUAAAAAGCAUAUUAAAUACAAAGAAGAUUGGGAGAAAUGAAUGGCAACUUAUUGACUCAUUGCAGCACCAUCGUCAAUAACGAUAAAGGAUUAUGAAAAGUUACAACCAUUUUGUAUUUGAUAAAUAUAUUUAGCUUAAUCAGGAACUUUAGGUUUUGCAACAUGUAAGAGAAAUAUGCAGACACUUUAUUUCCUCACAGAGUGAAUGUUGGAGUUUUUCUGUCUGGGCGUUGAUGAACUACUUUCCUCCUCAGUGUGAAAAGUUUCAUCAGUCCUGCCUACAUAUGUGUCUUUAUCCUGCCUUCACACAACAACUGAGACUGUGGUUCGAACAGGUGAAUGCAAAGCUAAACGGUCUGAAGCUGCAGGUGUGGAAACGUUGCAGGAUGAGCAGCUCCUGAGGCCACACACAGAGGGAAUGCUGAGCCUGAAAUGUGACUCGGCGCUAUCAGUGAACGCAGAGGUGUCCAACUGUGACCGUGCUGCUCCAUGCCUCAGAGAUACCGUUUCUUCCCAGUGACACAGCAGCUUCUCUCACUGUAGCUUUGAGAGGCAAAACAGUGUCAGGACAAUGAUUCAGUGAAUGUUUUAGAGAAGUUACAAAUGAGGUGGGAUCAAUACUCACCGCUGGCUGAGUUGCUGAUCAUAAUCCUAACGUCCGACUGCUACAAAACAUGUGUUCAUUUGUAUUUGUCGCAGCUUCCUUCCUUUGAUUCCAACAAAGCACUUGGAUGUCUUAAACAGACAGUUCUAAAGCGUCAUCUUUCAUUUAUUUGAUUUUAGUUACCGUUUUGAUCACUUGUUUGGCUCCCGAUGAUGUGUUGAUAUCGUGCGACUCGUGUUUAAUCAAAAUAAAUAAUACACUUUUCACAUA